CGCUGUCACUCCUACGGGAGGCAGCAGUGGGGAAUAUUGCACAAUGGGCGCAAGCCUGAUGCAGCCAUGCCGCGUGUGUGAAGAAGGCCUUCGGGUUGUAAAGCACUUUCAGUCGUGAGGAAGGUAGUGUAGUUAAUAGCUGCAUUAUUUGACGUUAGCGACAGAAGAAGCACCGGCUAACUCCGUGCCAGCAGCCGCGGUAAUACGGAGGGUGCGAGCGUUAAUCGGAAUUACUGGGCGUAAAGCGCAUGCAGGUGGUUUGUUAAGUCAGAUGUGAAAGCCCGGGGCUCAACCUCGGAAUUGCAUUUGAAACUGGCAGACUAGAGUACUGUAGAGGGGGUAGAAUUUCAGGUGUAGCGGUGAAAUGCGUAGAGAUCUGAAGGAAUACCGGUGGCGAAGGCGGCCCCCUGGACAGAUACUGACACUCAGAUGCGAAAGUGUGGGGAGCAAACAGGAUUAGAUACCCUGGUAG
rnacentral:rRNA from 1 species